AUGGCUCUGUUGAUCUGGGAGGUGCAGAGGCUCAAUUUGGAUUACAAGACCAACUGGCUUCCUGUGGGGUACUAUUUUACAAAGAAUUUGGCAGGAGAGCAACUUCAGCUUCUUGCCUUGAAGGUAAUGGAGUCCGUGGAAGAAGCGUGUUUCAAAUUGGUACGCCUUGUCGGAGAUAGUCACAGAUCGAACUCGAAGUUUUUCUCCAAUCUGUCGGGUGGCCCCAUACAACCUGUUGUUGAACAUCCUCUAGAUUCAGGUCGGGAGCUUUUUCUUUCAUUCGACUAUUGUCAUAUAUUGAAAAACAUCAGGUCCCAGUUUCUUGACGUAAAGAGAUUAUUCAGGAGAAAGGGACAACUCAUCCUGCCAGACUUUCUAAGACUGCUGUACAAGAUUCAAGAGAAGCAGGGCGCCUUCAAAAUUGGUGAGGAGCCUAACCAAGAAGCACCUGUAGCCGUCAAAUUUCGAGAAAAUGAAUGUCGGCAGGGCUAUUCAAGUUUUUUCACCUCAGGUCACCACAGUCUUGCGAUUUUUACAACAACAUGGACAGAGCCUUGGAGCUCCUGGCUUCCAGAAUUGCCUGCCGACGGUGGAAUUCAUGGAAUUGGUGCACAAAUGGUUUGUGCUCCACAAUAUUAAGAGCACUACUCUUCACUGGACCAGCAGAGAUGCCAUGAGGAUGCCAUUUUACAGUGCAGAUGACGAGAGACUUUCAUGGCUAGAAAAUGACUUCCUGAAGUAUUUCAGCGAAUGGAAGGAAGCCAUAAUGUAUAAGAUGGAGUUUCUGUCCGAAGAAACUUACGAGGCACUGAGAGUGACUAGCAUGUCCACAGUGCUGUGCACGAGAUUCCUCUUGAAAACAGGAUUUCAUUUUGUGCUGACGUCAAAGUUUUCAAGCGAUGAUGUCGAGUCGCUUUUUUCGACAAUCAGGCAGCUCAAUGGGCCGAAUGACCAAACCGAUGCCUAUGCAGCCCUGUCAUCACUGCAAAAGAUCUUGGUCACUGGAAUCGUCCACGCUUCGACCAGUGCCAAUGCAGGAAGCGUGGUGGGCUCGCUGGGGAAGGCUUCAAAGCUGUUUCCCAUUCCUGUGAAGACCACUUCAGACAACGAUGUCAGGAAGCUUCUGCUCCCUCAUCUCACUGCGCUGGAGCGCUAUCCAAGUGCCCCUCAGCGAAGCCUUCGAGCCAGCACGCUGGCAAUGAUUGCUGGCUUCUUGGUCAGAGCCGUGCAGGAUUGUAUUGAAUGUGAGGGCUGCCUCAUUAAUAUGCGGGCACCAGUCUCUCACUCUACAACCACUGCCAUCAUUGCUGGCAUGGACCGCAGCGGGCUGUCAUAUCCUACUUUGGCAUUCGUAGGGUUCGUCAGCCGCCUGGAAAAUGCUGCAUCAAGCGUGGCUCCUGCACUUGUUAGGGGGCCAAAGCCACAGAAGAAGUUCACGGACCUGGUGCUGCCAUUACUUCAAAAGAAUCCGUUGUUUGUGUGCCCAAAGGACACCCCUGAGCCUCACAGAUUAGCCCUGCUCAGGCUGCUCGUCCAGAAGUUUAUGAGGCCAUUUUUGGCGAAUUUUACUUCUGAUUUGGCACAGGAGCACGCCAAGCGGAAGAUAAUUAACGCCAAGCCAAAAUCGCGGAAGAUUCUGAAAGUUUAA